rnacentral:rRNA from 1 species
GAUGAACGCUGGCGGCGUGCCUAAUACAUGCAAGUCGAGCGAACGGACGAGAAGCUUGCUUCUCUGAUGUUAGCGGCGGACGGGUGAGUAACACGUGGAUAACCUACCUCUAAGACUGGGAUCACUUCGGGAAACCGGAGCUACUACCGGAUACUAUUUUGAACCGCAUGGUUCAAAAGUGAAAGACGGUCUUGCUGUCCCUUAUAGCUGGCUCCGCGCUGCAUUAGCUAGUUGGUAAGGUAACGGCUUACCAAGGCAACGAUGCAUAGCCGACCUGAGAGGGUGAUCGGCCACACGGGAACUGAGACACGGUCCAGACUCCUACGGGAGGCAGCAGUAGGGAAUCGUCCGCAAUGGGCGAAAACCUGACGGAGCAACGCCGCGUGAGUGAUGAAGGUCUUCGGAUCGUAAAACUCUGUUAUUAGGGAAGAACAUAUGUGUAAGUAACUGUGCACAUCUUGACGGUACCUAAUCAGAAAGCCACGGCUAACUACGUG